GAUGAACGCUGGCGGCGUGCUUAACACAUGCAAGUCGAACGAUGAAGCCCAGCUUGCUGGGUGGAUUAGUGGCGAACGGGUGAGUAACACGUGAGUAACCUUCCCUUAACUCUGGGAUAAGCCUGGGAAACUGGGUCUAAUACCGGAUAGUAUCGUCCACCGCAUGUUGGGUGUUGGAAAGAUUUAUCGGUUUUGGAUGGACUCGCGGCCUAUCAGCUUGUUGGUGAGGUAAUGGCUCACCAAGGCGACGACGGGUAGCCGGCCUGAGAGGGUGACCGGCCACACUGGGACUGAGACACGGCCCAGACUCCUACGGGAGGCAGCAGUGGGGAAUAUUGCACAAUGGGCGCAAGCCUGAUGCAGCGACGCCGCGUGAGGGAUGACGGCCUUCGGGUUGUAAACCUCUUUCAGUAGGGAAGAAGCGAAAGUGACGGUACCUGCAGAAGAAGCACCGGCUAACUACGUG
rnacentral:rRNA from 1 species